UGUCUUAUAUUCAAACUCGAGCUCUCUCCUCUCUCGUAGCUCUCUAUCUCAAACUCUCUUCUCUCUGUGAACCACGGAGAAGAUAGGACGAAACCCAAACCAUCGCACCACACGAGUGGACCACCAUCUCCUCCCUCCUGCUGUUUUGCUCAGGACACCCUAACUUGUGGUCUACUUCCCAUUCAGUGAGAACCAUCAUUGUUCACCCAUUUAACCUACCAUGGUUGGUGCAGAUGAACCUCGGGGGAGAUUCCCCAGAAAUUUUGGAAGCUUGGACCCGUGACCAUUUAGCCCAUUUCACAGGAUUUUUCCGGCCAUCUCGGUGACGUUUGGCCCUCGAAACUGGUGAAACGCAUUGCAAAGAUUCUCGAUUGUACGAGACGGGUUCGACUCGACAACAUGAUCUGUGUCAGCCAGCAUAGCUCGAUUCAGAAUCUAGAUGGACGUUCCGGAUCAAGGUGUGUCAUAAAAACAAAAAAAAUCGUGAAGAAAAAUGAUAUUGAGGGAGGAAACACUAGAGAAAAUACUAAUUCAAUGGAACUUCAAAGUUAAAAAAUAUAAAAAGGAGAAUGAAGCAUUAAAAAAAAAAAAAAAAAAAAAAAAAAAAAAAAAAAAACAUGAGACGAAGAACCCAAAAUACAAAAUUGACUAAUACAAUUAUUAUUAUUAUUAUUAUUUUAAUAACCAAUCAAAUGUAUAUUGAUCAUCCUUAUGGAAGGAGGAGGAGAAGAAGAAUAUUACUAGGCAAAAUAAUGUAGGAAGAGAAAAAUAUUGUGAGGGAGAAACAAGAAAAGAGAAAUGAACGGUUUGGGGAAGGAGAAGAAAAAAAGGAGAUUUAAAUCCCUAAUCCUAUAAUUAAGGAUAAGAUUGACAUUAAUCACAAACUUAAAAAACAGUAAUUACUUAAUUGGUCAAUUUAAGGGUAAAUUUGGUGAAUACAAAUAAGCUUAUGUGGACAAUGAAUCAUUGGAUCUAACCAAAAAAUUAAACAAAAUUGGACUAUAACUAAUAAUGGCUCAUAAAAUUGGACUCAUAUUAAGUUUUCCCAACUUUUUUAAAUCUCCAUAGAUUUGGAUAUCAAUGAGAAGCAAACGUUUAGUAAAAUUGAGAGUGUCAGUAUCAUGUGUGAUUUAAGGCUCGUUUGGAAGUGUUUUUAAAAUGACUGAUAACGCUUUUGAUGAAAUGUUUUUGAAACCAAUCCUUAGUAAAAACACAAAUGAAUCUUAAAAAAAGCAUUUGAAAUACUGCUUGGAAUAAGCGCAUAACCGUUGCUUCUUCCAUAAAGCACUUCAAGUGCCUUUGGAACCCAAUUUCUUUAAAAGCACUUUCAGUCUUUUUAAAAACACUUCCAAACAGUCCUUAUACAUUGCGUUUGUAAAAUUUGUUUGAUAAUUUGAUACCCUUCUAGAAAAAACUUGAUUACCAAACCAUACUGAAUAAAUUUGACUCUAUGCUCAUGAAGUCGGAGUUGAAGCUUUAGUUUUUAGCUACGACGUGGACUAGUAGGACUGUAACUGAUUAUCAAACCCUAAUUAUGUGAUUAAUUUAUGUAAUUAAUUUGACUCCACCAUUCAUUAUAUGUGCUAUGUGGCUGCAGAUAAACCCAAACUUUCAAGAUUUAAUCAUCACAUAAUCUAGAAAUUCGUUGACGUAAAAUCCUUUAUUUUCGUCCAGGAGAGAUGUAGGAAUAUUAAAAAGUUAUAAUUUUGUGAACAAGAAAUUGACUUUUAAUUAAAUUAAUCCCCAAAGGCCAUAUGGUAGAGCCACACUUUGAUUAAUUCAAGGUUAUCGACCACCAAGAUUUGUAUAUGAAGUCCAAUAUCUCCCCAAAAAGUAAAACCCUAUCUUCCAUUAUUUCAAUUAAAUUCUUCAUUUCCUUGUCACAUGAAUGGGACAUUCCGCAUUCCACAAGUAAAUUCGUACCUAAGAUCUGUCAUUCACAAGUGAAAAAAAAUACCAGUAUAUCGUAGUAUCAAACGGUUUUAAUUGGUUCUGCAUGCAUACUUGCGAUUCAAUUUCGCAUUUGAUUGCAUAUAUAUGUAAGCAGAAAACAUGUGUAUUUGAUUUGAAGAAAACUUGAUAAGCCAAUUUGGGAUGUAAACAUUCUAUUCGUGUUAAUAUAUAUACAUAUACAUAUAUAUAUAUAUAUAUAUAUCAUCCGUUUCUAAUCAUCUAAGUUAUGUUUAAACUGUUUCUGGGGCUCAGAAGCUUUGAUAAAGAUUUGUGGGGUGUUUAUCCUGUCUCUUUGGGCCUGAUUACUUCGCUGCCACUUUCCUUUGGGCUUUCAUUGCAGAGUUUUAAGACAAGAAAAAUAAAAGGAUAAGACAAAAAUCUCUGAUGCCCGGAUUAUGCUUCGGCAGGCCAGACGAGUUUAUGUGGAUUCCAAGGAAGGUCAUCUUUGACACUCUAAGCCUGUAAUCUGGUUGUACGUACGCACAAUAAAACUAAAGAGAUAUUUGGAGGAUUUUGCUGGCAUCAGUUGGGGGACCUUGCUAGCUAGUGCUUAGACGACUGAUCGUAACACACCUCCUACUCGGUUCUUCGUACGUGAGAGUGAAAAUCAAAGUAUCAGAACCCUUCGAGUUCGUGUUCGAUGUAUACGAUCGGAAAGGCGUAUUUUUAACAAUGCAAUCUUUGGUUUAGGCCUUAUGCGUACAAAAUGGUUGCAUUACCUUCUUAAAAAUGUUAGCUAUGUUGAGCCAGUGGUGCCAAUGAUCCAUGAAGAGAAGGACAUUGAUAUUUUUGUGAAAAGUGCAAUCAUGUCAUCAAAGCUAUGGGAGUACUUGGCCAAUCAUAAACAAACAGAUGGUCUUUCCAGCUAGUAUGGACGGGUCACAGUGUGUGUCUUUCAAACCCUAAAAUCUUAUGAGGUCCCCAGAACAACAAUAUUAUUGGCAUAUUGCUAACAGGAUAAUGUUAUCCAUAUGUUCAUUUUUACCUCU